AUAUUUCAGGCUGUGAUGUCUGUCACCCCACUGAUCACCAGGAUAGAUUGGGCUGAUCUAGCUGACCAAGCAGGUAACCCCUUCCUUCCUCUCUGCUCCACAUGCCUCCCUCCAAGGUGCAUGAGGACCAUUCCCACGGAAGAGGACCAUUUCCUCCUUCAUGGUAGAACCUCCAAACAAUGUUUUCUUCAUGACAAAAAAAACACUUCUAUGUGUAUAACUUUUUAUGUAAAUAUUAUUUAAAUUACAUUGUGAAAUUUAAUUUAAU
rfam:Heterocephalus glaber contig155504, whole genome shotgun sequence.